rnacentral:rRNA from 1 species
UACGAAGGGGGCUAGCGUUGUUCGGAUUUACUGGGCGUAAAGCGCACGUAGGCGGAUCUUUAAGUCAGGGGUGAAAUGCCGGGGCUCAACCCCGGAACUGCCUUUGAUACUGGGGAUCUCGAGUCCGGGAGAGGUGAGCGGAACUGCGAGUGUAGAGGUGAAAUUCGUAGAUAUUCGCAAGAACACCAGUGGCGAAGGCGGCUCACUGGCCCGGUACUGACGCUGAGGUGCGAAAGCGUGGGGAGCAAACAG